AUCUUCCUGUUGAGCAGUGUGCCAAAGUUACAAAAACUAGGAGCAUGUCUUGGAUUUUGUAAUAACAAGCGCACACAAGAAAAAAAGUAGAUACACUGGACCCCAAUGACUGGGGUUGACCUCUCUUUUAGUGUCCAGUGUCUUAAUAUUUGACGAAAUAUGC